CCUACGGGAGGCUGCAGUGGGGAAUAUUGCGCAAUGGGCGAAAGCCUGACGCAGCGACGCCGCGUGAGGGAUGAAGGUCUUCGGAUCGUAAACCUCUGUCAGCAGGGAAGAACGGUCACUGUGCUAAUCAGCAGUGAAUUGACGGUACCUGCAAAGGAAGCACCGGCUAACUCCGUGCCAGCAGCCGCGGUAAUACGGGGGGUGCGAGCGGUAAGCGGAAUUACUGGGCGUAAAGCGCUCGUAGGCGGUAUGUCAAGUCAAGGGGGAAAUCCCCGCGCUCAACGGUGGAACUGCCUUGGAAACUGGCAAACUGGGGGGUGUGAGAGGAUAGUGGAAUUCCAGGUGUAGGGGUGAAAUCCGUAGAUAUCUGGAGGAACAUCAGUGGCGAAGGCGACUAUCUGGCACAUAACUGACGCUGAGGAGCGAAAGCGUGGGUAGCAAACAGGAUUAGAUACCCGAGUAGUC
rnacentral:rRNA from 1 species